GGACUCCACUCAGCUAAUUAUUCAACUUCUAUAGGGCAGUUGAGGUCUCGCAGCAUAUGGGGCGAAUAUUUAUGCAAAUGGAUUGGGAACAGUCCCAAUAGUUGUGUGAUACAGACAGUUCCACUACUAUCGAAUACAGACAACCCCAAUGCCUCUUCAACAUCAUCACCAUACAGAUGGCUUGGACUCUUAUGAAAGCUACAGGUGUAGCUUUUGGCACCAUUAGAUCAGUGAAGGACACGCCAUGGGUGAGAAAAAAGAAUGCACAUUAAGGCAAGAACGAGAGCAGGGACAGCCUAACCUCAGGUGUGUACAAUAUAAUGCAAGGUUUUCCUGAAAUGUCAAAUUGCUGCCAGUAAAAAAACUAUUUCCAAGCAAUUCUCCAGAAGGGCAGGUGGCUGUUGCCCUGUAGAAAUUAUAAAUAGGAUGUAAUGCCGUAAUGGUCCAUUAAGUACCUGUUCAGCAGUAAACUA